UUUUUUUUUAUUUUUUUCAGAUAUUUUUUUCACAUGUCACAAAAGUGCCACCAUGUUAAUUUUCAGCUGCCACCUCAUCAGUUCCGGCUGCCACAGUGGCAUUUCUGGCACCGGCGUAAGAAAAAAUCGGUCAUCGGACAAAUUUGAGAUAAAAACGAAAGGUUAGGUAUUUAAAAGUAGAAAAAUAAAAAUAGGUGCAAAAAUCAAUUCCGUGUAAACGUUA
rnacentral:lncRNA from 1 species